GCCUAGGUGGCUCAGUCGGUUGAGCGUCUGAUUCCGGCUCAGGUCAUGAUCUCACGGUCCAUGGGUUCGAACCCCGGGUUGGGCU